rnacentral:lncRNA from 1 species
UUUUGUACAUCUUACGUUUACUUUUUGUUUUAAUUUAAUGCAUCAGGUUGUCGAUGUGAGAUUCUGCUAAAUUUCUGUUCUUCUGGCUGUAAGAUCUGAAUGCUGUGACCACUAAUUUGUUGAACCAAGACUCUGAGGCUGAUAUGCAAUGUCACUUACAACAUUAAUCAGAUACUGCAUUUAAGAACACUGAACCGGACACGCAAACCGUGGAGGGGACUCCAUCCUUUCUGCAGGGCCGAGGAAAAAAUCUUGCCAGCAGAGGUCACUGACGCUCCAGUUUGCGAUUUAGCAGCAGCCCAGGCAGGAGGCCAAUCCCGGUUUUCCGUGUGCCAACAAACUCCCUUUGUGCCGAUUAGAACUACACUCCCGUGCCCCCUGGGGUGGAAGAGAUGAGGUAAGUGUUCUUGGAGCCACUUCUGCCCUCUGAUACCCUUAGGGU